UAGGUUACUUUAAUAAUAUUUUGCUCUAAUAACUACAAGAGGCCCAUGGGCCACAUCGCUCAUCUGAGCCACCUUGGCCCUGCCAUUGUUCAAGGUCAACACCAAACUAAAAUAAGACCUUGCCAUAAAGAAUCCAUAUACGAAAUAUGAAAGCUGUUGUGAAAUGUAAUGCUGUGUGGGUGUGGGUGACAUCAUAGUGACUGUGACAUGCCACGACGUUGUUGUAAACAGUUUUUAAAAAAACAAGUAAUGAUGAAAUGACAAAACGUGUUGUUUUCACUAGCUUAGAUAAUACGAAACAUUUGGUGCCGUGACUAUGAGUUUGAAUCUUAAGGUUGUCCGUGGCGGACACAGACGCACAAUUAUAGUCAACAAAUACGAUUGGGAAACCAUAUUCAAAACCUGACCCACCUCAACUACCACAGGAUAGAGUAACGGACUCUGCCAUUUCAUACUACAGGUGUAGACUUUGCAGGACCCUUAUAUGUAAAGGACAAUGGUAGUCAACGGAAAAUGUACAUUUGUCUCUUUACAUGUGCGUGGACUCGAGCUAUUAGAACUAGUUCCAAUCUACCAACGGAUUCAUUUAUUCUGGCAUUUAGACGUUUUGUGAGCAGUAAAAAUUCCCCUCAAACGAUGUACUUGGACAAUGCCGCAACAUUCGUAUCUGCACAUGCAAAAAUAGUGCAAACUCUAAACUGCAAAAUUAAUCAGAAAUUAAUUCCAAAGGGAGCACCCUGGUAUAGCAGCUGGUGGGAAAGAUUGAUCUGAAUGACAAAGAUUUACACUGAAAAAGGUCCUGGGGAAAGCUCAAAUACACGAAGAAAACUUCCGAACUAUUUUAAGCGAAAUAGAAACCAUUAAUAAGGACAGACUGUUAACCUACGUUUCAUCUGAAAUUCAAGCUUUACAGCCGUUAACGCCAUCUCAUCUAUUAUAUGGACGAAUGAAAACUACACCAUCAGUGUCAGUCUCCCAGGAAAAUACAAACAUCACGCAUACCGAAGCAAAUAAACAAUUGGAGAGAGAAGAAUUGGUUCUACAACAUUUUCUAAAACGAUGAAGAAUGGAAUACCUCACAGGAUCACGCGAGUUUCAUAAAUUUUCAGGAAACGAUACUAAAAUUUAGGUUGGUGACAUAGUUCAAUUCUACGAUAAAAUGCCUCGUACAAAAUGGAAGUUAGCUAUGGUAGAUAAACUCAUUACAGGAAACAAUGGAUUAGUACGUGCAGCAAAAAUUCAAACAAAAUCACAACGCGACCAGUUACCAAACUUUAUCCUCUGGAACUUCCCAGGGCUCGCGCUGCCCAUCGCAUUUGUCGCAUUUUGCGAUUUUUCAGAAAAAAAUGCGACACGGACAUUUCGUAUUUUAGUAUUCGCGCGCCAUUUUGAAUUUCAGCUGUUGGCAUCCAAACAGCCUCAGGGCUGUUUUACCUGUGCAGAAUGUGGAUACCCUGUCGCAUGGGAACAAUAAGACUUAGGGGCGUCUUGUUUAUUUAGCAGUUUACACAAAACAAAGGGUUGAUCCUCUAUGUGCAGACUUCAUGAAGUCCCUUCUCCUCUACAUGAUGAGAUUCACCAAAGGACCACUUUAUCAUUCUGGAUUUCAAGAUGAAAACAGGAUUCUUCAGUGAAAAUGUGAUGUGAAACUAUGAUCAUGUGUUAUGUAUUACAGUAAUUAAUUUUCAGUAACUUUGUCAUCAGUGACUUUUUCUAGACUGCAAAUUUAAUGAGUAAUAUAUGUCAUUUACACUACUAAAAUGAUUAAUAAACAUUUAGAAACUCA